AUUGAACGCUGGCGGCAUGCUUUACACAUGCAAGUCGAACGGUAACAGGCCGCAAGGUGCUGACGAGUGGCGAACGGGUGAGUAAUGCAUCGGAACGUGCCCAGUCGUGGGGGAUAACGCAGCGAAAGCUGCGCUAAUACCGCAUACGAUCUAUGGAUGAAAGCGGGGGACCGUAAGGCCUCGCGCGAUUGGAGCGGCCGAUGUCAGAUUAGGUAGUUGGUGGGGUAAAGGCUCACCAAGCCAACGAUCUGUAGCUGGUCUGAGAGGACGACCAGCCACACUGGGACUGAGACACGGCCCAGACUCCUACGGGAGGCAGCAGUGGGGAAUUUUGGACAAUGGGCGCAAGCCUGAUCCAGCAAUGCCGCGUGCAGGAAGAAGGCCUUCGGGUUGUAAACUGCUUUUGUACGGAACGAAACGGCUCUCUCUAAUACAGGGGGCUAAUGACGGUACCGUGAGAAUAAGCACCGGCUAACUACGUGCCAGCCGCCGCAGUAAGAC
rnacentral:rRNA from 1 species